CCCGUUGCAACUUGCAAAGAGCCUGUAAAUUUACCUUAAACCUUCUUUUUUUUUCCUAGCCAAUGGUGUCAGGGGCCGGCUAGCCUGUCCCUCCAGAGCAUUAACCCUUGUCGCUAGCUGGAGUGAGUGAGAAGCUGAGGUUUGGCCCUGAGGAGCCGUGUGUGUAGAUCUGGCACAGCUUUGCUCCCUUAACUCCUGGAUCUUUGUUUUGGUGGCGACCAGGGAGAGCAGGGAGCGCUGUGCUCGCAUUUCCCUCUGGCUUUUACACACGCACACACACGCACACACACAAAUCCCCUUUUCCAACUUUCUGCUUUUUGCGCUUCCCUUCCAGUUUUUUCACUUCUCAGACCUACUGGCAGCAUUUGCCGAGAUCUAGAUCCCCGUCGUGGGACCUUGGAGUUUCUGGCAGAUAUUCCUCAGGCUGGAAUCCAGACAGCUUGUCUGAGCACGGAGAAACUACUCGCCUUCAGUCCUCAAAAUAUUAGCAAAAGACACUGUGUUUGCUGCUCCUUGGAUAAAAGCAUCCCUAAUGAGUCAACAUUGCUAUUCAUCUCAUGCGACUGCAGCCAAUCUUGGCUGCCAGGUGAGACGCGAUGUUGAAACAGAGAAACCAUCUCAAGGAAAUACAAGCUCUCAAAGCGUGAAUGGCUCUGCGGAUCAGAGAAGGCAUUUUGAAUUACACCUGGAAAUGAAGCGGGGAGCAGCCGAGUCCCCAGAGCACGGGUGCAGGGAUGGGGAGGAGGAGCGGUGGCAGGGCUGGCGGUGCCACCCUCGCCCAUUAGGCUCUCGCAGGUCGGGUCUGCGCACAUCGGGGAUGAUUGGGAGCAGCUGCAAGCUGAGCCCAGUGCAGCGCUCCCAAUACAUUCCAGAUGAUGAAUAUGAUGCAGGCUUACUGGAAGAAAAAUAUAUUUCUGAAGAGAAAAACAAUUACUUCUCAAGGCAAGACAAUGAAGCUGAACCGACGCUACGUGGGCAUAAAAUAGAGCAGAACUUUUGGGCAAUGGCUUUAGCUUCUAAUAAAUCACCCACCUGGAGAUACUUUUGCAGAGUGAGCUUGGAUGUAUCAGACCUCAAGUAUUUUCAGAGGGUUUUAGCUGAUCAUAAAAGAAGAGCUAUGUGUGAACACUAUCUGGCAGCUUCAUCAUAUUCUGAGGAGAUGAGAGAGUAUGAGUCCACCAUGGUCUGA
rnacentral:lncRNA from 1 species